CCAAAGUCAGACACUUAACUGACUGAGGCACCCAGGCGCCCCAUCACACAGGGCUUUGUCUUAACUCUCCUGGCAGUCAGAGAAGGCUCCACAGAGGAGGUGACAUUUGAACAGGGCCAGCUUGAAGGAUAAGACAUUCACUGGACAGACAAGAGUAGAAAGGAGUUCUAGAAAGAGGGAAUAGCAUGUACGAUGGAAAUUACAAGAGAAACCUCAGAGAUGUUACUUAACCUCUUUGAGGCAUAUACAUUCACUUAGCAAAUAGUAGGUACUUUAAAAAUGUCAAUUUCCUCCCCAUCUCCCCCAGCCUCGAAACACUUUUGGUGAUGGGAGAUAAACUGACUGAAUUUAUGUUGGCUCCCCCGGAAAUCCGGGCACAGGACUGGUUUCCCUGGAUGCUGAGCUGCAGGUUUUGACUCCGAGCCCCUUCCUAAGGCCCAGGCAUGGCAGGUGUCUCUUUGAAAUGAAUAGGGAUGACUUAUUUAAGGUCACAAAAUGAGGCAGAGAAUCUUAGGAUCUAGAACCAGAAACCCCGUCCCCCAGGCAGCUUACGGAAAAGGUCACCUUUGCAACAAACACUCAGAUGCCCCAAGACAUAGAAGUACACAGGGAUACGAGCCUGCACAAAGAUGCAGACAUAUCCUGAUAAAUCGAGUCACACGGACAUGCCAGAGACACACUCACACCCACCAGGACAGCAAUAGACACACAUGGGCACACAUGGAUACCCACUAACAGUCAUUUACACAGAGGUGUAGACACAUACACAGAUCCAUCCAAAGACAUACCUGCCAUAUACACACAAAGACCCAGACCCAGACCCCUACACUCAAAAAUGCGAGAGACAUAGAGACCUCCAUGGAUUCUUCCAGCCACACAGGAGUCAACACACAAAUGCCAACAACUUCCUCCUUCCUCUCACUCUUGCUGAAAGUCUCCAUUUGCCUUAUCAGACGGGGACACGGGCAGUGGGGAAAAGGGGAAACCGUCGCUGGCCCCCUAGCACUCCCAGUCCUGGGAAUGUCUAUCCAACUCCUUGACUUUGGUCCCUUUCUGGUCAGCUCAGAUUCUUCUCCUGAAUAGCCUUCUCUUCAACCAGUUUUAGCCAAAGAUGAGGCCUUUCUAUUCCAAGGGCUUCCUUCUAUCCUCUCCUUUCCUCUGCCAACUUCUCAUUCAUUUCUCUUUAAUAAUUUAUAUAGCAAUCUUGCCUGUUGUAUCUACUCUAUGCCGGGCAGGUAGUUGAGCACGAGGCAGGGAGGGCAUUCAGAGUUUUAUGAACAAGACACAAUCAGAGUUCAUCUUCUUAUCUUGGCAUCAGCAAUUGGCAACGAUUUUAACAUAUCACCUAACCCAACAGCCAUGACACAAAUGGGAAACAAGGCCCAGAGAACACGGUCUGAAGUCAUUCAGCAAUUUGGGGAUAGAGCCGGGAACUGAAUCCAGGAGUCUGAACUAUCUAUGGUUUUGUGCACUUCCGCAUCCUUCUGUCAUGCAUUGGCAGGUACUUCUCAUUUAUCUCUCUCCCUCCCCUUCUCUCUUUCUCCCCCUGAUUUAGCCCUUGCCUUUCUGCCAUUGAUUAUUCUGCUCUGUGCCAGCAAGUCUCCUGCCUGACCACUUACCUGUGAGUACAGAUGGGCUCUGCCCUCCACACCACACAGCCAGAGGCUGAUCUGCUACCAGCAGGGGGAGUUAAGGCAGGCACGCCUGGGGAAGAAGAUUGACCUCAACAGCCAAAGUGUGUGCUUGUCUUUCUGGAACCUAAAUGUCCAAUUGGGAUUUGGAGAAAAGAAAGAGGAAUGAAGUUAGACAGGGAUAUCAGAACCCAUGUUUGCAGUCUAACCCAGGGUCAGUCUCUACUUGUUCGAGUAAUUAUCUUCGCAAGAUACAGAAGACAGUAACCACUCUUCUAGGAGGAGCUUUUUUGUCUUUUAUUAUGCUGACCAAUGCUUAUCAUAAGAUUAUUAGAAAACAUAGAAAUGGAUAAAGAAAAAAUAAAGGUCAUUCAAGAUGCUACCAGCAGAUAAC